CAUCUGCCACAAGACAGAGGUGAUCAAGAACACACUGAACCCAGUGUGGCAGUCCUUCACCAUUCCUGUUAGAGCUCUCUGCAAUGGUGACUAUGACAGAACUGUGAAGGUAGACGUCUAUGACUGGGAUCGAGAUGGAAGCCAUGACUUCAUCGGCGAGUUCACCACCAGUUACAGAGAGCUGUCUCGGGGGCAGAACCAGUUCAAUGUCUAUGAGGUUUUAAAUCCCAAGAAGAAAGGCAAAAA